rnacentral:tRNA from 2 species
GCAACCAGUAGCUCAGUGUCCAGAGCCCCGCCCUUGUAAGACGGACGUCGAAGGUUAAAAUCCUUCCUUUUGCA